rnacentral:rRNA from 1 species
UACAGAGGUCUCAAGCGUUGUUCGGAUUCAUUGGGCGUAAAGGGUGCGUAGGCGGCGCGGUAAGUCGGGUGUGAAAUCUCGGGGCUUAACUCCGAAACUGCAUUCGAUACUGCCGUGCUUGAGGACUGGAGAGGAGACUGGAAUUUACGGUGUAGCGGUGAAAUGCGUAGAUAUCAGGAGGAACACCGAUGGCGAAGGCAGGUCUCUGGGCAUUAACUGACGCUGAGGAGCGAAAGCAUGGGGAGCGAACAGG